rnacentral:rRNA from 1 species
GUGGUUUGUCGCGUUGUUCGUGAAAUCUCACGGCUUAACUGUGAGCGUGCGGGCGAUACGGGCAGACUAGAGUACUGCAGGGGAGACUGGAAUUCCUGGUGUAGCGGUGGAAUGCGCAGAUAUCAGGAGGAACACCGGUGGCGAAGGCGGGUCUCUGGGCAGUAACUGACGCUGAGGAGCGAAAGCGUGGGGAACGAACAGGAUUAGAUACCCUGGUAGUCCACGCCGUAAACGGUGGGUACUAGGUGUGGGUUUCCUUCCUUGGGAUCCGUGCCGUAGCUAACGCAUUAAGUACCCCGCCUGGGGAGUACGGCCGCAAGGCUAAAACCCAAAGGAAUUGACGGGGGCCCGCACAAGCGGCGGAGCAUGUGGAUUAAUUCGAUGCAACGCGAAGAACCUUACCUGGGUUUGACAUGCACAGGACGCGUCUAGAGAUAGGCGUUCCCUUGUGGCCUGUGUGCAGGUGGUGCAUGGCUGUCGUCAGCUCGUGUCGUGAGAUGUUGGGUUAAGUCCCGCAACGAGCGCAACCCUUGUCUCAUGUUGCCAGCGGGUAAUGCCGGGGACUCGUGAGAGACUGCCGGGGUCAACUCGGAGGAAGGUGGGGAUGACGUCAAGUCAUCAUGCCCCUUAUGUCCAGGGCUUCACACAUGCUACAAUGGCCGGUACAAAGGGCUGCGAUGCCGUAAGGUUAAGCGAAUCCUUUUAAAGCCGGUCUCAGUUCGGAUUGGGGUCUGCAACUCGACCCCAUGAAGUCGGAGUC